UAUGAUAGAAGAUUUGCAAGUGUUAAGUAAACAGAUAUACAGCCAGAGAUGUUCGGCACAUGCUUCCGCUUUCUUACAAACCCAACUUGUAGAAGAGGAAAUGAAAGAGAUUUCAUCUGAUAAAAACAAGAUGCUGGCCGACAGUUUGGAAGAAUUUAAAAUAUUAAAGAACGAGAGCGAUUUACCCACGAUAGCCACGCUACCUCCAGAUUUCCAGCCUAUACCUUGCAAACCCACUUUCUUUGAUAUCUCGCUCAAUCAUAUAGAAUUCCCGGAUCUCGAAGAGAGGGUCGAAAAGGAAUCUUCGGGUAUUUUAGGCUUCACCAAAUGGAUCUGGGGGAAAUAGAGGAUUGGAAAUAUAUUUGGGACACUUAAUUCGUUUUAUCUUGAGCUAUAAUAUUGUAUAUGAUUAAAUGGUUGACCAAUUUUACUAAUCUUGACAGG